AAAAUUUUAGUUUAAGUUGAUAAAAUGAUUCAUUUACAUUGAAUAGAUUAAUUUAGUUGUUAAAGUUUUU
rnacentral:tRNA from 1 species